rnacentral:rRNA from 1 species
UACGGGGGGAGCAAGCGUUGUUCGGAAUCACUGGGCGUAAAGGGAGUCUAGGCGGUUUGGUAAGUGGGAUGUGAAAUCCCCGGGCUCACCCCGGGACCUGCAUCCCAAACUGCUGAGCUUGAGUACAGGAGAGGGUGGGGGAAUUCCAGGUGUAGCGGUGAAAUGCGUAGAUAUCUGGAGGAACACCGGUGGCGAAGGCGCCCACCUGGCCUGCUACUGACGCUGAAGCUCGAAAGCUAGGGGAGCGAAUGGG